UUGUUGUUGUUUAGUCGUUUAGUCGUGUCCCACUCUUCAUGACCCCAUGGACCAGAGCACGCCAGGCCCUCCUGUCUUCCACUGCCUCCCGCAGUUUGGUCAAACUCAUGCUGGUAGCUUCGAGAACACUGUCCAACCAUCUCGUCCUCUGUCAUCCCCUUCUCCUUGUGCCCUCCAUCUUUCCCAACAUCAGGGUCUUUUCCAGGGAGUCUUCUCAUGAGGUGGCCAAAGUAUUGGAGCCUCAGCUUCACGUUCUGUCCUUCCAGUGAGCACUCAGGGCUGAUUUCCUUCAGAAUGGAGAGGUUUGAUCUUCUUGCAGUCCAUGGGACUCUCAAGAAAAGAAAAGACUCUCAAAAAAGAUGGAGUACUAUGGCUAAAUUUUAGAUUUUGGCAUGAACAUACUUGCAAACAUUCUAAAUCUAAAGCAUUGCCCUUGGAAUCAAGUAUGAGUGUUGACUUUUUCCUCAUUUGACUUUUUCCCGCCUUAGGUGCUGUGCUUUCUGGACCUCAAAAAAAGGAAGACAGGACUGUACCCCAACUCAAUCUCCAAGCAGCACAAAAUUCCAGGGCUCCCAAGCGGUUUUCCCAGAUGUUUCGUUCUCCUGACUUCAAGAUAAGAAAGACAAAUUCCGCCAAAAAUCCAUAGAAGCCCUGGUGAAGAUAUUUCUCUUUCUGGACUUCUCCAAGGAUGUGAUUCAAGCGCACUCAAAAUUUGUUAAAGCAAAGCCCUUUGUAGGGCAAAGAAUAUAGAAUACUACAUUCAGUUUCUGGCAAAGUCUUGUAUUCAGUAUUCUGGUGAAACUCACAAUCUCAACCAUCCAGACUUUGCAGGGGCAUUCCUCACUAAAAUCGGUUGACACCCUGGAACUGAAGCUUUGGAUAACUCCAUUAACUGAUUAAUAAGAGGAUACACUGUUGAAGACAUUGUUUUGCCAGUCUGGGCGUUCGGCCAAUAGAAUGGAGUGUAAUAAGUCAGCCCUGAAAAUCAACAACAAAAGAAUGUUUUAUACCACCUGUUUAUCGACUAGUGAAGCAGCAAAAGUCACCACCGCUUUUUGAUUAAAAAUAUUAACAAGUCAGAAUCAAGCUGAUAAGAAAGAAGUAUUUGAGGUAUAUGAAUGGCAGGUUUUAUAUACAUUGGUACCUCAGGUUAAGUACUUAAUUCGUUCCGGAGGUCCGUUCUUAACCUGAAACUGUUCUUAACCUGAAGCACCACUUUAGGUAAUGGGGCCUCCUGCUGCUGCCGCGCCGCCGGAGCACGAUUUCUGUUCUUAUCCUGAAGCAAAUUUCUUAACCUGAAGCACUAUUUCUGGGUUAGCAGAGUGUGUAACCUGAAGCGUAUGUAACCUGAAGCGUAUGUAACCCGAGGUACCACUGUACAUGCAUAUACAAGAAACCUUGUAACAAUGAAUAGUGGAUUUACAACCAAGAUAAGAGGGGCCAAAAGGAAGUUAAUAAUAUAAUAUGAAGUUAGUUAGUUUGUGGGAGUUAUAGAGCCAUGGCAGAGGCUUGUAAUACUGCAGGGUGCCCUCUGACCUCAAGCUGACUACCCCUGACUCACACCCUGUGCCUUACAACGUAUUGGAAUGUAUUGACCUUAUAUGGUGAUGGGCGUAGCAAAGGCCAUGACCGGGUGAGGUAACGUGAGACUUUGCCAAACGGCCAUGCGGCCAGGCAGAACUAAGGGGAAUAAAUUGGAGAAGGGCAGACAAAAGAGUUGCUCCUACCAUCUAUGAAAAUAUAGCUGACUCUCAGUGUCCUUUUUUCGCGUUCCUUGCACCAUCUCAUGACGGCUGGAUUCUGUCAUUAGUUUGAAUGUAAAAGGGCUGAGAGAGUCCAAAAAACAGUAACUCUGCAAUACUUAAAAUCUUUAAAUACUUACAUUGGUUAUUUACAAGAGACACAUUUGUUCAAUCAAGGCAAAAAAGUGUUAAUGAAGAAUUGGGUAGGAAAGGAAUAUACUGCAAAUUAUAUUUCCAGUGCUAGAGGCCUUGCUAUCUUGAUACGAAAAGGAUUGAGAGUGGAUAUAUGACAAGUUAUUACUGAUGAAAAUGGAUGGUAUUCAGUUUUGUGUGUGAAAAUUGCCGAAAUGGUAAUAAUGUUGAUUAAUAUAUAUGGGCCAGAUGUAGAUUCUCCAGAUAUAUUUUAUCAAUGUUUUGGUCAUCUAAGUCAAAGUACUUACAAUAAACUUAUCAUAGGAGGUGAUUUCAAUGAAAUAAUUGAUCCUAACCUGGAUAGAAGCAAGCCUCCAUGAAAAAAAGUUUCAUUAGUUAGAGAAACUCUCAAAAAGUACAUGCAAGAGUUGAAUUUGGUUGACCCUCUUUUAGGUUGGAUUUUUUCUUAAUAUCAGCGUCCAUCAAAUUCAAGAUUGUGAUAUUGAUGUAUGCUGCAAGACCUGUAUUCCCUUAAGCUCCACCUUAUAGCUGUUUUAGCUGUCUUCUAGUUCUUAACAGUUUUCAUUAUCACUUCUUAUCCAUCCAUUAUCUGUGUUUAACCUUGUAUUCUAUUCACAUGUUUAUCCUAUGCUUGUUUUCUUAUUUUUAUUUGCUUUAACAAUUACCUGUGUAAAUCCUAACUUCUACAGUCAUACCUCGGUCUGCGUCAGCCCUGGCUUGAGUCCGUUCCGCGGAACAUCAGCGGCAAACCCAGAAGUACCAGACUGGGUUACUUCCGGGUUUGCUGCUCGUGCAUGCACAGAAGCACUAAAUCAUGCAUGCGCAUGCACAGACACAACACUUUGGCCUGCGUCAUUUUCAGGUUACGGCGGUGGGCUCCGGAACGGAUCUCUGAUGUAAGCCAAGGUACCGCUGUAUUUUAUUCAUAUGUUUUUCUUAUGCUGGUCUGUGACUGUAAUAAAGUUUAUUGACUGAUUGAU